UCGCUCACCAUACACAUGUGCACACAUGUAUGCACCCAUACAUGCGUUUGACUUUUUUGAUUGUUUGCAGACACCUGCAUAGUGGUGCAAGAUUAGCACCAGACACUAGAUGUCUAGAACUAGGAUAUUGUUAAGGACAAUACAGUUGAAUGUGUAAGGAGAGGCUUCUGUUUGUGCUAGAUGACACAAGCAGCAAACGAUAGAGGUUUGGAAUUCUUUAAGUGAAUGCUGAAGCCAGAUCUAAUGGUUGAUAGUUAUUUGUUGCAAUUAUAAAUUAAAACCUUAUAAGAAAUUUAUUUUUGAAUCACUCAGUUCUCUGUGUCUGAGAUUGUUUUACUUUUACAUGGAUAAUUUUAGUUUGGACUGCAUGUGAGCUUAUUUAUGAUUUUCUCUCUGUUCCAAUGAGUUCAUAAUAAUUCUAGAUUAUGUUUAAAUAAGUCCUCAAUUUAUUAUUUUUUUUAUUCUGCUUUCAGUGCAAGCCUUUUCUGGUAUUUUUUAUGUAGUCCUCUUUGCAAUUUAAAAUCACUGUUAAAUUGUGAAUUUCUUCAGAAUGCAGUUGGUUCUCAUUUAUACCCUCAGAAUCCAGUCCUCCGCCUUGGAAGUCAGCUCAACUUCAGUGUAGAAGGUUGGUGUAUGAUAAAAUUUUACAUUAAUUUUUAGUUGGUCACAACUAAAACUCACAAAUCCAUUUCGGAAAUCUAGAUCUAAAAGACAACAUUGAAUUAAUGUUUAAAAAGCCAUACUAAUUGUAUAUGUCAGGUAGAAAUCUUAGUCUGAAAUUGAUGAAUAAUUCAAAUGCUAUUUUUUUUUGUCUGAAAUCUAUACUAAACCAUUGGAACAGCUUAGCUCAGCUAACUCUAAUCCUUAAGUUGGAUAUGCCCAGUAGUUGUAGGAAUGCCAUCAAGGAUUUAUCCGUUGGGUUAAGCUUGAAAGCUCAAACAUUGAGUGUUUAUAUUUAAGAGCUUCUUCCUUCCAUGCUAUUGGAGAAUAUAGAGAAGCGGUAUUAGGGAUUCUUUUUCUUGAUUUUCCCAUUUAAACUACUGGGCAUCAUGCUCAAUUCUUCUUUGCUUUGGUUUACUAAAUUUCAUUUUAUGAUAAAGGUGAAGGAUUAUGAUGCAGAAAAUUACAAAUUAUAUGAAGAAGUUGGAGAAGAUGUCAGCGCCACUGUUCACCGGGCUCUCUGCAUUCCUUUGUGUUGACUGGGAUUUGGGAAUGUAUCCUGCUCAAAAUUGUCUUUGUUGUACAUGAACCUAUUAUGAUUAAUUGAAUACGAAUCCCUAUUCUGCAGUGUAAUGAUGUGUAAUAUGCUUGACUAUUCCAUUGCAUCUGCAUGUGCAAGCAAAUGACUUAACCUA